rnacentral:tRNA from 3 species
GGCGGGGUUCCCGAGCGGUCAAAGGGGGCAGACUGUAAAUCUGUUGGCUCAACGCCUUCGGUGGUUCGAAUCCACCCCUCGCCACCA